rnacentral:rRNA from 1 species
GAUGAACGCUGGCGGCGUGCCUAAUACAUGCAAGUCGAGCGAACAGACGAGGAGCUUGCUCCUCUGACGUUAGCGGCGGACGGGUGAGUAACACGUGGAUAACCUACCUAUAAGACUGGGAUAACUUCGGGAAACCGGAGCUAAUACCGGAUAAUAUAUUGAACCGCAUGGUUCAAUAGUGAAAGACGGUUUUGCUGUCACUUAUAGAUGGAUCCGCGCCGCAUUAGCUAGUUGGUAAGGUAACGGCUUACCAAGGCAACGAUGCGUAACCGACCUGAGAGGGUGAUCGGCCACACUGGAACAGGAACACGGUCCAGACUCCUACGGGAGGCAGCAGUAGGGAAUCUUACGCAAUGGGCGAAAGCCUGACGGAGCAACGCCGCGUGAGUGAUGAAGGUCUUCGGAUCGUAAAACUCUGUUAUUAGGGAAGAACAAAUGUGUAAGUAACUAUGCACGUCUUGACGGUACCUAAUCAGAAAGCCACGGCUAACUACGUG